rnacentral:other from 1 species
AAAAUCGAGCGUCAUCCACUAUAACAAGGAUUGAAAC